rnacentral:rRNA from 1 species
GACGAACGCUGGCGGCGUGCUUAACACAUGCAAGUCGAACGGAAAGGCCCUGCUUUUGUGGGGUGCUCGAGUGGCGAACGGGUGAGUAACACGUGAGUAACCUGUCCUUGACUUUGGGAUAACUUCAGGAAACUGGGGCUAAUACCGGAUAGGAGCUCCUGCUGCAUGGUGGGGGUUGGAAAGUUUCGGCGGUUGGGGAUGGACUCGCGGCGUAUCAGCUUGUUGGUGGGGUAGUGGCUUACCAAGGCUUUGACGGGUAGCCGGCCUGAGAGGGUGACCGGCCACAUUGGGACUGAGAUACGGCCCAGACUCCUACGGGAGGCAGCAGUGGGGAAUAUUGCACAAUGGGCGGAAGCCUGAUGCAGCAACGCCGCGUGCGGGAUGACGGCCUUCGGGUUGUAAACCGCUUUCGCCUGUGACGAAGCGUGAGUGACGGUAAUGGGUAAAGAAGCACCGGCUAACUACGUG